AUGUUUGAAACAAUAAAUUGUAAUCAGUUUCGACCUGAUAUUAAGUUAAUUAUAUAUUAACUCUAACAUU
rnacentral:tRNA from 1 species